rnacentral:lncRNA from 1 species
CAGGUAUCGCCCCAAAGACAGGGGGAAUUCUCGGGCACUGGUGAUAAAUAAUCGAUUUCUCUUAGUCAAUAAUCGAUUUCUCUUAGUCAAUAAUCGAUUAUUACUCCUUUAUGUUUUCCUAUUAUUCUACUGAAAAAUAAACUAAUCGAUUAUACUAAUACUAGAAUCGAUUAUCUAACAUUUUGAUUUUGCAGGAAUCUGGCAAUCAUAUUUACUAAUCGAUUAUUGAAAGUUCAGUUUCACAAGUGUUAAUAAAAUAAUCGAUUGUUGAAAACCGAAUAAUCGAUUUCCUCUCACCGUCUCGAUUUUUCAUCACUCUGCCUAAAAAUAAUCGAUUAUCUGCAAAUCAAAAUCGAUUAUUCCCCGAGUCCGUAUAACACACUGUGCAGCAAUAAUAGAUUACCAAAGUUCAGUAAUCGAUUACCAACGGUCCGCUCAUCAAAAUUGUUACCGUUUUUGACCGUUUGGCUUAAUAAAUCUGCAGUUUUUUAUACAAUAAAUGCCUCACUUCUUCAAUUCUAUAAAUAGGUGUUUUCAUCCUUCAAAUUUCUCACNNN